CGGACGGGUGAGUAACGCGUGGGAACAUGCCUAUUAGUUGGGGACAACCUGUGGAAACGCAGGCUAAUACCGAAUACGUUCUAUGGAAUAAAGGUGGCCUCUACUUGUACGCUAUCGCUAAUAGAUUGGCCCGCGUUGGAUUAGCUGGUUGGUGGGGUAAAAGCCUACCAAGGCGACGAUCCAUAGCUGGUUUGAGAGGAUGAUCAGCCACACUGGGACUGAGACACGGCCCAGACUCCUACGGGAGGCAGCAGUGGGGAAUAUUGGACAAUGGGCGCAAGCCUGAUCCAGCAAUGCCGCGUGUGUGAAGAAGGCCCGAGGGUUGUAAAGCACUUUCAAUUGUGAAGAAGGGGUUGUCGUUAAUAUCGGCAAUCAUUGACGUUAACAAUAGAAGAAGCACCGGCUAACUCUGUGCCAGCAGCCGCGGUAAUACAGAGGGUGCAAGCGUUAAUCGGAAUUACUGGGCGUAAAGCGCGCGUAGGUGGUUUGAUAAGUUGGAUGUGAAAUCCCCGGGCUUAACCUGGGUCGGUCAUUCAAAACUGUCAGACUAGAGUAUGGUAGAGGGUGGUGGAAUUCCUAGUGUAGCGGUGAAAUGCGUAGAUAUUAGGAGGAACACCAGUGGCGAAAGGCGACUGCCUGGACUGAUACUGACACUGAGGUGCGAAAGCGUGGGUAGCGAACAGGAUUAGAUACCC
rnacentral:rRNA from 1 species